AAGUCAUGAUGAAGACACUGUCUCAAAUAACCCUUAAAUCAGUCUCAUGCUUCAAAUAGUGUUUCCUCAUCUUCCUGAGCAAAGCCUUAAAUUCUAUUCCUCAUAU